rnacentral:rRNA from 1 species
CUUUUGGUUCAACCUGAGAGUUUGAUCCUGGCUCAGAACGAACGCUGGCGGCAGGCUUAACACAUGCAAGUCGAACGGUCUCUUCGGAGGCAGUGGCA